rnacentral:lncRNA from 1 species
AGCCCAAAAGAGAUCUAACACACUUCAUCGAAUGGCCCCACUACAUCAGGCUGCAGUGGCAAAGAGCCACCCUCUAUAAGUGCCUCAAAGUCCCUCCUGCCAUUACCGAGUUCACCCAGGCCCUGGACAGGUAAACAACUACUCAGCUGAUUAAGCUUGCCCACAAGUACAGUCCAGAAACAAAGCAAGAGAAGAAACAAAGGCUACUGGCACAUGCUGAGAAGAAAGCUGCUGGCAAAGGCUACGUCCCAACUAAGAGACCACCUGUCCUCGGAACUGAAGUCAAUACAGUCUCCACCUUGAUGGAGAACAAGAAGGCUCAGCUGGAGUGAUUGCCCAUGAUGCAGACCUCACUGAGCUUGUGAUUUUCCUGCCUUCCCUGUGUCAAAAGACAGGGAUGCCCUACUGCAUCAUCAAGGGAAAGGCCAGGCUGGGAAGCCUGGUGUACAGUAAGAUAUGCACCAUUGUUGUCUUCACACAGGUUAGCUCGGAAGAUAAGGGUGCUCUGGUUAAGCUGGUGGGAGCUAUUAGAACCAAUUAUAAUGACAGCUCUGAGGAGAUCUGCCACUACUGGGGAUGCAACAUCCUGGGUCCUAAGCCCUGCCUCACAUUGCCAAGCUGGAAAAGGCAAAGGCUAAAGGACUCACCACUAAACUGG